AAAAUAAAGUACAUAAGGGCACAUGGGGGAUGCCUAGGCUCUGGAAGGCGACGAAGGACGUGAUAAGCUGCGAUAAGCCGCGGGGAUUGGCAAAUACGAAUCGAUCCGCGGAUUUCCGAAUGGGGCAACCUGAUACGAGAAGAUUGUAUCAUUCCAUCCAGUAUGGAAGGCAAACGCGGGGAACUGAAACAUCUAAGUACCCGCAGGAGAAGAAAACAAAAGUGAUUCCCGGAGUAGUGGCGAGCGAAACGGGAAUAGCCCAAACCGGUGUUGUUUCGGCAAUACCGGGGUUGUAGGACCGGGAAGUGGCAAGAGACCAAGGAAGCGGAAGCGCCUGGAAAGGCGCAUCGUAGAGGGUGAUAAUCCCGUACGCGACUCCCUGGCGAAGCCUACCGGUAUCCUGAGUAGCGCGGGACACGAGAAAUCCUGUGUGAAUCCGGCGGGACCAUCCGCCAAGGCUAAAUACUCUCCAGAGACCGAUAGU
rnacentral:rRNA from 1 species